rnacentral:rRNA from 1 species
AUGAACGCUGGCGGCGUGCCUAAUACAUGCAAGUCGAGCGAACAGACGAGGAGCUUGCUCCUCUGACGUUAGCGGCGGACGGGUGAGUAACACGUGGAUAACCUACCUAUAAGACUGGGAUAACUUCGGGAAACCGGAGCUAAUACCGGAUAAUAUAUUGAACCGCAUGGUUCAAUAGUGAAAGACGGUUUUGCUGUCACUUAUAGAUGGAUCCGCGCCGCAUUAGCUAGUUGGUAAGGUGACGGCUUACCAAGGCAACGAUGCGUAGCCGACCUGAGAGGGUGAUCGGCCACACUAGAACUGAGACACGGUCCAGACUCCUACGGGAGGCAGCAGUAGGGAAUCUUCCGCAAUGGGCGAAAGCCUGACGGAGCAACGCCGCGUGAGUGAUGAAGGUCUUCGGAUCGUAAAACUCUGUUAUUAGGGAAGAACAAAUGUGUAAGUAACUAUGCACGUCUUGACGGUACCUAAUCAGAAAGCCACGGCUAACUACGUG